UACGGGGGGGGCAAGCGUUGGUUCGGAAUUACUGGGCGGUAAAGGGCUCGUAGGUGGCCAACUAAGUCAGACGUGAAAUCCCUCAGCUUAACUGGGGAACUGCGUCUGAUACUGGAUGGCUUGAGUUUGGGAGAGGGAUGCGGAAUUCCAGGUGUAGCGGUGAAAUGCGUAGAUAUCUGGAGGAACACCGGUGGCGAAGGCGGCAUCCUGGACCAAUACUGACACUGAGGAGCGAAAGCCAAGGGGAGCAAACGGG
rnacentral:rRNA from 1 species